rnacentral:rRNA from 13 species
CCCUUACGAGUAGGGCUACACACGUGCUACAAUGGCAGUGACAAUGGGAUAAUCCCCAAAAGCUGUCUCAGUUCGGAUUGUCGGCUGCAACUCGCCGGCAUGAAGUUGGAAUCGCUAGUAAUCGUGGAUCAGCAUGCCACGGUGAAUACGUUCCCGGGCCUUGUA